GAAGUGGUCAGUAGGGCUCUCCACCAGGGCAGCGAUGCAUCUGAGAUAUUCCAAGGCAGAUUCCGCAUUUAUAAUUACCAACCAGAAGCCAAGACAAGAAGGAUCACGGCAAGCUGAGGUGCCUGGAUGCAGAGUGACGAGAAGACACAAUCUGCCCUAAAGGAGCUCACCUUGACUCAUGUGGCCCGGUAACGUCUGAUCAGCCAAGAAGUAUAAAUUAUUAUACAAAAGUAUCAUAACGUUUGUCUUGUGGAGACAGACUGGAAUUUAUUUCUUCAAUGUAAAACAUCGGUGGAAUGCAAAUUACCCCUGUCCAAGGACCCAUCAGGGUUUUUGUGAAGGGGGAUGCAGGUCAAUGCAGAAAAUCACAUCCAUCUCUUCUACUGGUUUCUGUCAUCACCUUUUGAGAUCUUCAAAACAAGUUCUAGAGGCUGGGAAGACCAAGGUCAAGGCGUUGGCAGGUCCAGUGAGGGCUUGUUUCCUGGCUCACAGAUGGCCAUCUUCUCGUUGUGUCCUCACGUCGUGGAGGGAUCAUCUCUCUCAGGUGUCUUCUUGGAAGGGCACUCAUCGCAUUCAGGAGAGCUCCACCUUCAUGACCUAAUUACCUCCCAAGAGCCCUCUGAAUCACCACUGAACACCAUCAUACUAGGGAUCAGGUCUAUGACGUUUUGGAGUGGGGGCACAUUCACUCCAUAGCAACAACUCAUAUUUAAAGAGUGUUUGUGGGGCACGCUUGGGUGGCUGAGUCGGUUAAAUGUCUGACUCUUGAUUCAGCUCAGGUCACGAUCUCAGGGACAUGAGGUUGACCCUGAGCAGGGCUCUGCUCUGAGCAUGGAGCCUGCUUAAGAUUCUCUCGCUCUCUAAAAAAAAAAUAAUGAAUGCUUGCUACACACCAGGUACUGUGGUAAGUUUCAAAUACAUCAUGUUGUUUGUCAGAAUCAGGUAGGGGAGGACACUGAAGCUCAGAGAGGUUACCAUAUUUAUCUGGGGUCACAGAGUUGAUAAUUGGCAGAGCCAGGAUUUGAAUCCAGUCUCACUGCACACAGUCCACACUUGGACUCAGAACUGCAGACUUGGGGCUAAGCAUGCACGUUCAUGCUUUGCUCAAGCUGAGCAAACACCUGAGAACACCACAGGUUCACAGACUGCAACUGGGGCACAUCAGGCAGGCUGUCUUCUUCCUGGACCUGCAUCUAGAUCACUGAGGAGACUCUCAGUUUCUACAGCAAGCGUUAAAAAAAAGAUAUCUGUGGACUCCAGGCAUUGCCCCAAGUUUGGCCGGAGAAUCUGACAUGCCAUGAUCCAUCUGGAUUCAUAUGCUGCCACUGAAAUUCCAGGGACAUGCCCAUGGGGAAUAGCCUGUAGCUACUUCUCAGCUCAGCCAGUUCCUCUUGAAAGUGAGCCACAGUGAUAAAGUCUUGGCUUGAAACUUCAGACUUACCCUAAGGUUUGUGCUUCAAAGGCCACCGAAGAAAUAAAAAACCCAGUGUGGUAUUUUGAGUUUGGGUUUGCAUCCCCUUUGAUCACAUCCUCUGCGUGCUGGAGCAGACUGCUUGGGUUCAAAUGCAGGCCCCACCACUUGGGAGCUGGGAGAUGGAACUGAAUUUGCUUAUCUGUACACAGAGAGUAACAGCCUCUCUUCCAUAUAACUGAGUUCAUCCGUAUAAAGUACUUGAACAGAACCUGGCCCAUAGAAGCACUCAAUAAAUAUUUUUUACUCAGUAAGAAGGCACGUUUUCACUGUUCCUCACUUGAUAAGUGUGAUAGAUAUAACCUUCUGGCUUAAAGAGAACAUCCAUAUGACUGCUAUACCCUCCCAAGCUAAAGAACCCUCUGCAAGGUUCCUGGAUAGAUGCUCUCUUUAGCUUACUUGGUAGGGACUAGCUGUCUCAGGGACCAGCACUUCAACUGUGGGUGGUGCUAACUUCUGGCGUUAGAGUUACACCACAGCGCAAAAAAGCUUGGGCUCUGGAACCUGGUUUUAAGAUCUCCCCAUCAUGUCUACCACCACUAUUCUGCCCCAAUAGUUUAGGGUGAGAAAAAUCUAUAGAACUAUGAUACAAAUCUUUCUACAUUAUGGUGUGCUUCAGAUAAAGCAGUUAAAGUGAACUGAAGCUCAGUCAAAUGAGAAAAGAAUAUUCUUAACUUCUCAAAUCAUGGCCAUCUGGAUCAUGGAUUAACAGGAGUAACAAAGCCCCAUUAACAUUCUUACUUGUAGCAAGAACAUUAUCUCCAUAGGGUCUUUCUAGCCAAGACUAGUAGCUCUAGCUCUCAGUAUGUGACUGAGUCUUGCAAAAAUCUAAGAAAGAGGGGAAUGAGCAAGUCCAGGUAACGAUCAAGAGUUCUCUUGGGCUAAGAAAUGUAAGGGAAAUGAUGAUUAGUUCUAAAAAAUGUUCGACUAGGUAACUCAGUACAUAAUGAACAUCAAAUGUACAAAAAGUCCACUAAGAUAUGAAUAUACAUGAUUUCAUUUGAAUUCUAAGAUUUCCAGCAUUUCAAAUAAGCCUUUUAAUUUUGUUCUUUUCCUUCACAAGAGAACAGUUGUACUCAAGUCUGAUUGCUGUUAAAAGUGUGCCACUGCUUUUUGUCUUGUUCUUAACUGCUCUAAAUUGAUGAAAUUUUCAUUUUUUCCUCCUUUUUCCACUCAUUUUUGUAUACCAGGGGCAAAAUGCAACAAAAAGGCAAAGAGUAGUACUGGCUGCUUGAACAAAGGUAGGAAUGCUGCUGGAAUUACAGAUGGCAGGAAGGUAGUUCUACACAUACUGCAACAGAAAUUAUUCCACACUACUGAACUACUCACUAGCUGAGGCAAGAAGCCCAAGAGUAUGUGAAAAGUAGUGUGACGGGCUGGGAGAAGAGGGAAGGAGGUUCAAAAGUCAAACAAAACAUACUUAAGUCAUGCGCCAUCUGAAUCAGGGGCCCCUCAGGGAGGCAAAAGUAAUCUGCAGGUCUACUUCACAUUCAC